CACCUCUCUCUCUGUCUCUAGGAGCUUAAUAAAAAGGAUCAAGAUGAAUCAUACUGAUGAGGAGAUCCCGAGUAAGUACUGCUAACAACUUCCCCGGUGCUGAAGCUGCUGGUCCGUGGAACAGCCCGGAGGAGCCGGUUACCAGAGUUUUAUCUCUGCUUCCUGGUCACCGUGCUGAGACACCGACAGCCCACCAGCCAUUCUGUCUUUCCGCUUAGGCUCCUCCCGUCCUGUCACCCGGCCUAACCCAUCACACGCCAUGUGCUCCAGGCCCAUGAGGACCAGAGACCCCCUCAGAACUGAAGCCCAACCCGGACUCCCUGGCCACCAGUGAUGCCAACAUAGGUCAGAUCCUGGUGAGUCAUGAAGAGGCAGGCGGAUGCCCACAGGCUGGCCCCUUUGAUGGACAGUUGUCAGCUGCCUGGUCCUAGCUGCAUUCCAGAAAGAGAGGAUGCCAGAGGCGAGUCCCAUAAAGAUGAGAUGCUUAUUGUAUUCCCCACCCACCUGUUGCAGGUCUGUGACGAGGCAUCUCUGUGCAGUUAGAGCGCUGUGGUGUCUGAAGUUGGGAGAGCUGCAUUUGAUGCCCGCCUCUCCUCCUUACUGCCAGCAUGGCAUCCAGCAAGUUAUUUUUAUCUGCUUUGAAUCACUAUUCACUC